GUAGGUGGCAAGCGUUGUCCGGAAUUAUUGGGCGUAAAGCGCGCGCAGGUGGUUCUUUAAGUCUGAUGUGAAAGACCCCCGGGCUCAACCGGGGAGGGUCAUUGGAAACUGGGGAACUCGAGUGCAGGAGAGGAAAGUGGAAUUCCACGUGUAGCGGUGAAAUGCGUAGAUAUGUGGAGGAACACCAGUGGCGAAGGCGACUUUCUGGCCUGUAACUGACACUGAGGCGCGAAAGCGUGGGGAGCAAACAGGAUUAGAUACCCUGGUAGUCCACGCCGUAAACGAUGAGUGCUAAGUGUUGGGGGGUUUCCGCCCCUCAGUGCUGCAGCUAACGCAUUAAGCACUCCGCCUGGGGAGUACGGUCGCAAAGACUG
rnacentral:rRNA from 1 species